rnacentral:lncRNA from 1 species
UGUGUGUGUGUGUGUGUGUGUACGUGCUAGUGGGUUUUUUGGGUCGUUGUAUAUGCUAGUAUAUAUUGAUUUUCUUGAAAAAGCUGCUGCUUUUUUCUUCUCCUUUUUUCCUACCUUGUGAUUUUUGUAUGCUGUGUGAACUUGUUUUGAGUGAUUCUGGUUUAAGGUAAGUAGUCGGGUUGGAAUUGAUGCACUCUAGGCUUGGAAGAUGAAAAUGGUCGUCUUUGUUGAUAAUGGAGAAUGAAGACUAAUGAAUGUGCUAAUAUGAGUGAUUUUAUCAAAUUUUUGAAGACUAUUAAAAUUUCCCUGGGCGUGCCAGUUGAUGAACGUAGAGAAACAUACUAUAGAUAGUUGGGAUACGGUGAUUAUGUUCAAUUUAAGAAAAUUUUCAGUUUCGCACUUUACUCCAAGUGCAGACAGAAGGCACUUCGGCUUUCUGUGGGUUUGAUUUAUUUCAGCCUGGGGCAGUAACUUUACUAGACAUGGAUGUUGUGCCUAUGUAGCAACGCUCUCAAGAAAAGAAUUAAGUCAGUUAUUCAUAACUGACAGGCCUUUGGCUUUAUCAGAGCAUGACUAGAAAAAGGACUUCUGGGAUGUUAUUUUACUUCUGUAAUGGCUUAACCAACUGGAAUAUGCCUAUUUUGCACUCUGUUCCCUAUAAAGAAGGGAACUUGGGGGCGGGGGAAAGGAGGAGUGUUAGGAAGGUAUCAAAAAAAGUUUGAUUAUGGUACGUCAGAAAGAGAAAAGCCAAAGAUUUUGCCGAGGUCGGAAGUUUUAGAGCCUGUGUCAAACAGUUAUUGAUAAUCACUAGGGGCAUGAUAUGCCAAUUCCCCAAUGAGCUGUCUUGUGUACUUAUAUUUCGAGGAAUGAAAAUUGCGUGGAGAUAUGCUCGUUUCAGCCGUUUAAGGAGGAGUGGAACACAUGAAAAGUGAUUUGAUUAAUACACUGUGACCUUCUUUAUUGUCAUCGUACACAUGUUUUUUGUCGAGUUUUUACUGUGACCUUUUUGAUAUAGUUGUGGUUGUCUGCAAGUUGCUGCAAUAACUGGGUUUUUACUAGCAGAGAAUUUAUUUUUGAGAUGAUUAAGGAGUAAGAUAUUGAAUUGAGAGAUUUUAAGACCCAUAGGUAUUUUCUAUGUUUUAUAGCAUGAGUUCAUAAAAAUUUUUAAUGAGUAGGUUUUUAUUAUUGAAAUGUGUUUAUUCAUUGGUUCAUUUAUGAAACUUUUCAAUCAUAUAACUGAUUAUAUUUGGUCUUGGCUUCAUUGCACAGGGUUGCAACUUAGUUGCACAAAGGAAUUCUAAUAGAUUCUUUUUCCUUGACAUGCUUAUGCUGCAGUGUCCAGGUGAGGAAAUCAUGUAAGAUGAUUUUUGAGUGAACUUAUUAAGUUGAUAUAUGUUAAUUAAAGUUUGUUGAUUU